CAGUAGCCGCGGUAAUACGAAGGGUGCAAGCGUUACUCGGAAUUACUUGGCGUAAAGCGUCUGUAGGUGGCUUUUCAAGUCCGCCGUCAAAUCCCAGGGCUCAACCCUGGACAGGCGGUGGAAACUACCAAGCUAGAGUACGGUAGGGGCAGAGGGAAUUUCCGGUGGAGCGGUGAAAUGCGUUGAGAUCGAAAAGAACACCAACGACGAAAGCACUCUGCUGGGCCGACACUGACACUGAGGGACGAAAGCUAGGGGAGCAAAUGGGAUUAGAUACCCGGGUAGUCCCUGUCUCUUAUAC
rnacentral:rRNA from 1 species